UACGGGGGGGGCAAGCGUUGUUCGGAAUUACUGGGCGUAAAGGGCUUGUAGGUGGCCAACUAAGUCAUACGUGAAAUCCCUCGGCUUAACCGGGGAACUGCGUCUGAUACUGGAUGGCUUGAGUUUGGGAGAGGGAUGCGGAAUUCCAGGUGUAGCGGUGAAAUUCGUAGAUAUUCGCAAGAACACCAGUGGCGAAGGCAGCUCGCUGGGACGGUACUGACGCUGAGACGCGAAAGCGUGGGGAGCGAACAGG
rnacentral:rRNA from 1 species